AGAGAAAUUGCUGGAUCAUAUGGUCAUUCUACGUUUAACUUUUUGAGGAAGUGUCAUACUGUUUUCCAAAGUGAGUACACCAUUUUGCAAUCCCACCAGCAAU
rnacentral:pre_miRNA from 1 species